rnacentral:rRNA from 1 species
GCACAACGCGAAGAACCUUACCUGGUCUUGACAUAGUAAGAACUUUCCAGAGAUGGAUUGGUGCCUUCGGGAACUUACAUACAGGUGCUGCAUGGCUGUCGUCAGCUCGUGUCGUGAGAUGUUGGGUUAAGUCCCGUAACGAGCGCAACCCUUGUCCUUAGUUGCCAGCGCGUAAUGGCGGGAACUUUAAGGAUACUGCCAGUGACAAACUGGAGGAAGGCGGGGACGACGUCAAGUCAUCAUGGCCCUUACGACCAGGGCUACACACGUGCUACAAUGGUCGGUACAAAGGGUUGCUACCUAGCGAUAGGAUGCUAAUCUCAAAAAGCCGAUCGUAGUCCGGAUCGCAGUCUGCAACUCGACUGCGUGAAGUCGGAAUCGCUAGUAAUCGCGGAUCAGAAUGCCGCGGUGAAUACGUUCCCGGGUCUUGUACACACCG